GUAAUGGCUCACCAAGGCUUCGAUCAGUAGCUGGUCUGAGAGGAUGAUCAGCCACACUGGGACUGAGACACGGCCCAGACUCCUACGGGAGGCAGCAGUGGGGAAUUUUCCGCAAUGGGCGAAAGCCUGACGGAGCAACGCCGCGUGAGGGACGAAGGCCUCUGGGCUGUAAACCUCUUUUCUCAAGGAAGAAGAUAUGACGGUACUUGAGGAAUAAGCCACGGCUAAUUCCGUGCCAGCAGCCGCGGUAAUACGGGAGUGGCAAGCGUUAUCCGGAAUUAUUGGGCGUAAAGCGUCCGCAGGCGGCCCUUCAAGUCUGCUGUUAAAGCGUGGAGCUUAACUCCAUCAUGGCAGUGGAAACUGAAAGGCUUGAGUAUGGUAGGGGCAGAGGGAAUUCCCGGUGUAGCGGUGAAAUGCGUAGAUAUCGGGAAGAACACCAGUGGCGAAGGCGCUCUGCUGGGCCAUUACUGACGCUCAUGGACGAAAGCCAGGGGAGCGAAAGGGAUUAGAUACCCCUGUAGUCCUGGCCGUAAACGAUGAACACUAGGUGUCGGGGGAAUCGACCCCUUCGGUGUCGUAGCUAACGCGUUAAGUGUUCCGCCUGGGGAGUACGCACGCAAGUGUGAAACUCAAAGGAAUUGACGGGGGCCCGCACAAGCGGUGGAGUAUGUGGUUUAAUUCGAUGCAACGCGAAGAACCUUACCAGGGUUUGACAUCCUGCGAACCUCUUAGAAAUUUGAGGGUGCCUUCGGGAAUGCAGUGACAGGUGGUGCAUGGCUGUCGUCAGCUCGUGUCGUGAGAUGUUGGGUUAAGUCCCGCAACGAGCGCAACCCACGUUUUUAGUUGCCAGCAUUUAGUUGGGCACUCUAGAAAGACCGCCGGUGAUAAACCGGAGGAAGGUGUGGAUGACGUCAAGUCAUCAUGCCCCUUACACCCUGGGCUACACACGUACUACAAUGCUACGGACAAAGGGCAGCAAACUCGCGAGAGCUAGCAAAUCCCAUAAACCGUGGCUCAGUUCAGAUCGUAGGCUGCAACUCGCCUACGUGAAGUAGGAAUCGCUAGUAAUCGCAGGUCAGCAUACUGCGGUGAAUACGUUCCCGGGCCUUGUACACACCGCCCGUCACACCAUGGAAGUUGGCCAUGCCCGAAGUCGUUACUCC
rnacentral:rRNA from 1 species